CACCACUGUUGUCCAUCUUCCUCUCCCAGGACAGGAUGAGCUAUUCUCAAGCUAUUUCUGAGUAUUCUUGGAGAACUGAGGACUGCUUCAAGCAACUUUCCUUAUGCCAAGAUCAGCAAAACUGCAUCUUACUGAAGCAAGUUCCAGCUGUCAGCUGACAUGAUGAUCUCAGCUGUUCAAUGACUUUGUUUGGCAGUAUAAUUUUCAGACAUGUAACAGAGUUGUCUUUUGUCCCUUUUAUUUGUUUAUUUGUGGCCAUGGCCAUGAUCAUUUUCCAUCCCAAGAACCCAAUAUAAUCUGCUGCAUCUCCAAUCCAUUUCCAUUUGAAUAGACCUUUCUGAAAAGAGAGUAAUAAAUAAAACCCCUCUUAAGACUUAGUAAAUCUU
rnacentral:lncRNA from 1 species